ensembl:lncRNA
GCCAGAGCGCGAAACGUCAGUUUAACGUAAAAGAGAGCGAGAACAACGUCACACACCGUGGCCUUGAGUGAGCAGCAGUCUAGAGUGAGCCACGGCCGGCUUGAAUGAGCAGAGGCGGGCAGUUUGAGAACGGUGCGGCAGGCGGACUCUACGAAGGCACGUACCUUGGUCUUGCAUCAACCACAUGUGACGACCCCAGGCUGGACGCCGCUUCGUCCACAGUGAAAGCUGAUUCGGCGAUCCACAGCACAAAGUUGUUGUAUUUUCUUAGCGACCAGCAUGGAUCAGUUCCAGGCAUGACGAAAUGGAUAUCAUCCUCUUUUGGAAGGCCAUACAAAGUAGUUUCGCUAUCACAGUGAAACACACAGCUUCUAUACGACAUGGCGGCAAGAAUAAAAGUUUUUAGGUUUGAACUUGUGAUGUCUCUUGCUCCAGGCAAGAAAUAUUCCUCUGAGCCCCAUCAUCUCAUGUUCAUUUGGGGAGACUGAGCCCCCCCAAAACUGAAAUCCAAGAACCGCCUCUGGGGAUGCCUGGUCUGCGGGUGUGAUUAGUGUGCCAGGGUGAUGUGUGUGGUAAAUGUCUGAGAUGAAUCCAGCCAUGAAAUUGAUCUGGGCUUUUGAGUGUUGCACUUGUCUUUAAGGGAAAAGACUACAGGAUAUUACUGAAGCAAUGAGAAGUAGCCUUCCUGUCAGCCAAGCCACUGCUGCAUGACACUGAGCAAGAUUUAAAUCACAGGCUUAAGUAAUGGGCAGCAAUAAGCUGCUCUUGCUGUCUGUCUCUGUAUAGCAAACAUGUAGGUGCUGUUUUCUUGCAGUCUUAACAACUUGAUUUGUGCAUUUCUAAAGUGAAUUUUACAAGUUAUAUUUUAUUUUAUACAUGCAUUUCAUGCAUAAAUGCUUGGAUUUUAUGGCAGAGUGAUUUGGAUUGUAGAUUUUAUUCACAUUGAAAUCUGUUCUGGCAUGAAUAGAUUUCUUCUAAAACGCAGAAUGCAUACUGUAUUGCUUUAGACAAUAUGCAAUGUUUUUUGCACAUAAAAAAU